GGAGAGGUUCCCGAGUGGUUAAAGGGGGCAGACUGUAAAUCUGCUGGCUCAGCCUACGUUGGUUCGAAUCCAUCCCUCUCCACCA
rnacentral:tRNA from 1 species